GCUAGGCUAGCUCAGUCGGAAGAGCAUGAGACUCUUAAUCUUAAGGUCGUGGGUUAGAUCCCCAUGUUGGGCA
rfam:Danio rerio chromosome 4, GRCz11 reference primary assembly.